rnacentral:rRNA from 1 species
UACAGAGGUCCCAAGCGUUGUUCGGAUUCACUGGGCGUAAAGGGUGCGUAGGCGGUUGGGUAAGUCUGAUGUGAAAUCUCACAGCUUAACUGUGAAACUGCAUUGGAUACUAUCCGGCUAGAGGAAUGGAGGGGAGACUGGAAUACUUGGUGUAGCAGUGAAAUGCGUAGAUAUCAGGAAGAACACCAGCGGCGAAGGCGGCACUCUGGGCUGGAAUUGACGCUGAGGAGCGAAAGUGUGGGUAGCAAACAGG